rnacentral:rRNA from 1 species
ACAUGCAGUCGAGGGGCAACAUGGUAUCAGCUUGCUGAUACCGAUGGCGACCGGCGCACGGGUGAGUAACGCGUAUGUAAUCUACCUGUAACAGAGGGAUAACCCGGAGAAAUCCGGACUAAUACCUCAUAGCACAUAUUAUUCGCAUGAAUUUUAUGUUAAAGAGACUCGGUUACAGAUGAACAUGCGUUCCAUUAGCUAGUUGGCGGGGUUACGGCCCACCAAGGCAACGAUGGAUAGGGGUUCUGAGAGGAAGGUCCCCCACACUGGUACUGAGACACGGACCAGACUCCUACGGGAGGCAGCAGUGAGGAAUAUUGGUCAAUGGGCGAAAGCCUGAACCAGCCAAGUCGCGUGGAGGAAGACGGCCCUACGGGUUGUAAACUCCUUUUACCUGGGAAUAACGGGCGCUACGUGUAGCGCUGUGCAUGUACCGGGAGAAUAAGCAUCGGCUAAUUCCGUGCCAGCAGCCGCGGUAAUACGGAAGAUGCGAGCGUUAUCCGGAUUUAUUGGGUUUAAAGGGUGCGUAGGCGGAAGAAUAAGUCAGCGGUGAAAUGCUUCAGCUCAACUGGAGAAUUGCCGAUGAAACUGUUUUUCUAGAGUAUAAAAGAGGUAUGCGGAAUGCGUGGUGUAGCGGUGAAAUGCAUAGAUAUCACGCAGAACCGCGAUUGCGAAGGCAGCAUACUGGGCUAUAACUGACGCUGAAGCACGAAAGCGUGGGUAUCGAACAGGAUUAGAUACCCUGGUAGUCCACGCCGUAACGAUGAAUACUAACUGUUUGCGAUAUAAUGUAAGCGGUACAGCGAAAGCGUUGAAGUAUUCCACGUGGGGAGUACGCCGGGCGACGGUGAAACUCAAAGG